rnacentral:rRNA from 1 species
UGCAGUCGGACGGGAUUGGAACCAGAGCUUGCUCUGAUUCCAUGAGAGUGGCGCACGGGUGCGUAACGCGUGAGCAACCUACCUCUAUCAGGGGGAUAGCCUCUCGAAAGAGAGAUUAACACCGCAUAAUAUAUCUGAUUGGCAUCAGUUGGAUAUUAAAUAUUUAUAGGAUAGAGAUGGGCUCGCGUGACAUUAGCUAGUUGGUAGGGUAACGGCCUACCAAGGCGACGAUGUCUAGGGGCUCUGAGAGGAGAAUCCCCCACACUGGUACUGAGACACGGACCAGACUCCUACGGGAGGCAGCAGUAAGGAAUAUUGGUCAAUGGGCGGAAGCCUGAACCAGCCAUGCCGCGUGCAGGAUGACUGCCCUAUGGGUUGUAAACUGCUUUUGUCCAGGAAUAAACCUAGAUACGAGUAUCUAGCUGAAUGUACUGGAAGAAUAAGGAUCGGCUAACUCCGUGCCAGCAGCCGCGGUAAUACGGAGGAUCCGAGCGUUAUCCGGAUUUAUUGGGUUUAAAGGGUGCGUAGGCGGCCUAUUAAGUCAGGGGUGAAAUACGGUGGCUCAACCAUCGCAGUGCCUUUGAUACUGAUGGGCUUGAAUCCAUUUGAAGUGGGCGGAAUAAGACAAGUAGCGGUGAAAUGCAUAGAUAUGUCUUAGAACUCCGAUUGCGAAGGCAGCUCACUAAGCUGGUAUUGACGCUGAUGCACGAAAGCGUGGGGAUCGAACAGGAUUAGAUACCCUGGUAGUCCACGCCCUAAACGAUGAUAACUCGAUGUUGGCGAUAGACAGCCAGCGUCUUAGCGAAAGCGUUAAGUUAUCCACCUGGGGAGUACGCCCGCAAGGGUGAAACUCAAAGGAAUUGACGGGGGCCCGCACAAGCGGAGGAGCAUGUGGUUUAAUUCGAUGAUACGCGAGGAACCUUACCCGGGCUUGAAAGUUAGUGAAGAAUGCAGAGACGCAUUCGUCCUUCGGGACACGAAACUAGGUGCUGCAUGGCUGUCGUCAGCUCGUGCCGUGAGGUGUUGGGUUAAGUCCCGCAACGAGCGCAACCCCUAUGUUUAGUUGCCAGCAUGUAAUGGUGGGGACUCUAAACAGACUGCCUGUGCAAACAGUGAGGAAGGUGGGGACGACGUCAAGUCAUCAUGGCCCUUACGUCCGGGGCUACACACGUGCUACAAUGGAUGGUACAGCGGGCAGCUACAUAGCAAUAUGAUGCUAAUCUCUAAAAGCCAUUCACAGUUCGGAUUGGGGUCUGCAACUCGACCCCAUGAAGUUGGAUUCGCUAGUAAUCGCGUAUCAGCAAUGACGCGGUGAAUACGUUCCCGGGCCUUGUACACACCGCCCGUCAAGCCAUGAAAGUUGGGGGUACCUAAAGCAUGUGACCGCAAGGA